rnacentral:rRNA from 1 species
GACGAGGGACCUAGCGUUGUUCGGAAUCACUGGGCGUAAAGCGUUUGUAGGCGGCUCUAUAAGUCGGGUGUGAAAUCCCACGGCUCAACCGUGGAAGUGCAUUCGAAACUGCAGAGCUUGAAUAUGGUAGAGGAGAGUAGAAUUCCUGGUGUAGUGGUGAAAUACGUAGAUAUCAGGAGGAAUACCGGUGGCGAAGGCGGCUCUCUGGACCAAUAUUGACGCUGAGAAACGAAAGUGCGGGAUCAAACAGG